CCUACGGGUGGCUGCAGUGGGGAAUAUUGGGCAAUGGGCGCAAGCCUGACCCAGCAACGCCGCGUGAAGGAAGAAGGCUUUCGGGUUGUAAACUUCUUUUCUCAGGGACGAAGCAAGUGACGGUACCUGAGGAAUAAGCCACGGCUAACUACGUGCCAGCAGCCGCGGUACUACGUAGGUGGCAAGCGUUCUCCGGAUUUACUGUGUGUAAAGGGGGUGUAGGCGGGGACGCAAGUCAGAUGUGAAAGCCACGGGCUCAACCCGUGGACUGCAUUUGAAACUGUGUGGCUUGAGUGCUGGAGGGGCAGACGGAAUUCCUGGUGUAGCGGUGAAAUGCGUAGAUAUUAGGAGGAACACCAGUGGCGAAGGCGGUCUGCUGGACAGCAACUGACGCUGAGGCGCGAAAGCGUGGGGAGCAAACAGGAUUAGAUACCCGGGUAGUC
rnacentral:rRNA from 1 species